GGGAUUGCCUUAGUAACUGCGAGUGAAGCGGCAAGAGCUCAAAUUUGAAAUCUGGCACCUUCGGUGUCCGAGUUGUAAUUUGUAGAAGCAUCUUUUGGAUUGGUCCUUGCAUAUGUUCCUUGGAACAGGACAUCAUAGAGGGUGAGAAUCCCGUUCAUGGUGGGGAAUCCAAUUCUUUGUAAAGUGCUUUCGAAGAGUCGAGUUGUUUGGGAAUGCAGCUCUAAGUGGGUGGUAAAUUCCAUCUAAAGCUAAAUAUUGGCGAGAGACCGAUAGCGAACAAGUACAGUGAUGGAAAGAUGAAAAGAACUCCGAAAGGAGAGUGAAAAAGGACGUGAAAUUGUUGAAAGGGAAGUGCUUGAGAUCAGUCUUAAGGUUUAGUGAUCAGUCUUCCUUUUGGUUGGUGCACUCACUAUUUCUUAGGCCAACAUCAGUUUUGGCGGCAGGAUAAUGACAUUGGAAUGUGGCUCUUUCGGGAGUGUUAUAGCCUUUGUUGAUACUGCCUGCUUAGACUGAGGACUGCGCUUUUGCUAGGAUGUUGGCAUAAUGAUCUUAAGCAGCCCGUC
rnacentral:rRNA from 1 species